UCCUUAAUUAUGCGACUAGUUAAGUAAGGUCAAAUUUCUUGCUUCAUCUACAUAGCAAACACGAUGAAAUGAGUCCAUUUUCACAUCCGAGUCGUAAUAAGUUCUUGUUGAAAGUGAUUUACAAGCAUUUGGUUUCAAUUUUCCCUUGUAAGCCUUGCAAAUAUAUGUCACAAAAUUUUCGAAGUCCUAUAACCACAAGAAAAGGUAAAAGUGAUUAAGGAACUAAUAUACAAAUAAAAAAUGUUUAAUGUACAUUCACUUUUUUGAACAUCCGGUUGAUCACCUACAAAAAUAUAGUUAAUAUAGUUGAAUAGAUGAUUAAUUUAUAUCAGAUUGAAAAUUGUAGUUAAUCAUGUAAUUGAAUUAAUCAUAUUGUUUACUGUAAUUUAAAUUAACUAUUUACUUAACUCUGAAUUAAUAAAAAAAAAUUAUAUGAUUAACCAAGUGUGAUGUAAGUGUACAAAUAGUAAGUAAUCUUUAAUAUCAAUCACAAACCUCUUGGAGUGCAUGGUCAUUGACAACCACCCAUGGAACAAAUGUAUGAGGAGGAUUAAGUUUAUCAGUUUCCUUAGCAUACUUUUGUUCAAUCUGUUUGAUGCACAUAAAUAUUAUUAUUAGUCUUAAAUUGAUAUAUACUAGAAAAGAUACCUUCAAAAAGAAUUAUGUAGUUGUUGCAAUUAAUUAAUCAAUAUUAUUGGAUAAUUCAUUUCCAACUUCAUCAAAUAAUACCUAAAUAAGUUGACUUGGGUUCCACAAUUACAAGCCCAAAAAAUGUGAGUUUCUUCAGCUCCUUUAAAUUCUCAAAAUUUCUAAUUUUUUUUAGAUUGACCAUUAAUUCAGAUGUGUGUAUUUGAGAACAUAGAAGAAAAAAAAAUAUAUUUUUAAAAAAGUCGAUUAUUUUGAUAUAAUCAUGAUUCAACCAACCUAAUUUUUGUUUUCAGUUUGGCCCACUUAAUAUGACAGAUUUAUUUGACAAUCAUAUUUUUAUUAUAAAACACAUACAUAGGUUACAAUAUUGACAUAUUGAUACCAAUAUUAAUUUAAAAAAAUAAAUUAAUGGACCAUGUGACACAUUGAAACAUGUUUUCGAAUGAAGUGUUUGGAUGUAGAACAUUUUUACCUAAAGCAACUUCAUGAUUUUGUGACUAUGGUGAAUUAACUUUAUAAAAGAUAGCUGAAAAUACAAUUAAUGCAUAUAUAUAUAUAUAUAUAUAUUAGUAGUAGGCCAUUUAUGCAGAUUGUUUAGGCGUCUUUCCUAUUACUCUUAAAAGGAUAGUGUGUUAGUAACAUAGUUUAAUGUGUGAUUUCAUUUUUUUUAUUUUAUUUUUAUUAUUUUUUAUUAUUUUGCUUAGUUCAUGUAAAGUUAAGCAAAUAAAUUUAUUUAAUAUCAAUAAUUCAAAUAAAUUAUCAAGAUUAAAAAAAAAUCAAGUUGAAUCAGAAUUCUAUUACAUUUGCUUAAGAUGAACGAGAGAACAUUGUGUUACAAUUUUUGACCGAUAAGAACAUUGUGUUGAAUUGUUAAAAAGUUUAUGAGAAUAUCGAAAACAACAAGGUAAAGUCUUCGACUACCAAAAUAAUUAAAUUCACUCUUGUUCUCUAUCAAGUUGAAUCAGAAUUCUAUUACAUUUGCUUAAGAUGAACGAGAGAACAUUGUGUUACAAUUUUUGACCGAUAAGAACAUUGUGUUGAAUUGUUAAAAAGUUUAUGAGAAUAUCGAAAACAACAAGGUAAAGUCUUCGACUACCAAAAUAAUUAAAUUCACUCUUGUUCUCUAUCAAGUUGAAUCAGAAUUCUAUUACAUUUGCUUAAGAUGAACGAGAGAACAUUGUGUUACAAUUUUUGACCGAUAAGAACAUUGUGUUGAAUUGUUAAAAAGUUUAUGAGAAUAUCGAAAACAACAAGGUAAAGUCUUCGACUACCAAAAUAAUUAAAUUCACUCUUGUUCUCUAUCAAGUUGAAUCAGAAUUCUAUUACAUUUGCUUAAGAUGAACGAGAGAACAUUGUGUUACAAUUUUUGACCGAUAAGAACAUUGUGUUGAAUUGUUAAAAAGUUUAUGAGAAUAUCGAAAACAACAAGGUAAAGUCUUCGACUACCAAAAUAAUUAAAUUCACUCUUGUUCUCUAUCAAGUUGAAUCAGAAUUCUAUUACAUUUGCUUAAGAUGAACGAGAGAACAUUGUGUUACAAUUUUUGACCGAUAAGAACAUUGUGUUGAAUUGUUAAAAAGUUUAUGAGAAUAUCGAAAACAACAAGGUAAAGUCUUCGACUACCAAAAUAAUUAAAUUCACUCUUGUUCUCUAUCAAGUUGAAUCAGAAUUCUAUUACAUUUGCUUAAGAUGAACGAGAGAACAUUGUGUUACAAUUUUUGACCGAUAAGAACAUUGUGUUGAAUUGUUAAAAAGUUUAUGAGAAUAUCGAAAACAACAAGGUAAAGUCUUCGACUACCAAAAUAAUUAAAUUCACUCUUGUUCUCUAUCAAGUUGAAUCAGAAUUCUAUUACAUUUGCUUAAGAUGAACGAGAGAACAUUGUGUUACAAUUUUUGACCGAUAAGAACAUUGUGUUGAAUUGUUAAAAAGUUUAUGAGAAUAUCGAAAACAACAAGGUAAAGUCUUCGACUACCAAAAUAAUUAAAUUCACUCUUGUUCUCUAUCAAGUUGAAUCAGAAUUCUAUUACAUUUGCUUAAGAUGAACGAGAGAACAUUGUGUUACAAUUUUUGACCGAUAAGAACAUUGUGUUGAAUUGUUAAAAAGUUUAUGAGAAUAUCGAAAACAACAAGGUAAAGUCUUCGACUACCAAAAUAAUUAAAUUCACUCUUGUUCUCUAUCAAGUUGAAUCAGAAUUCUAUUACAUUUGCUUAAGAUGAACGAGAGAACAUUGUGUUACAAUUUUUGACCGAUAAGAACAUUGUGUUGAAUUGUUAAAAAGUUUAUGAGAAUAUCGAAAACAACAAGGUAAAGUCUUCGACUACCAAAAUAAUUAAAUUCACUCUUGUUCUCUAUCAAGUUGAAUCAGAAUUCUAUUACAUUUGCUUAAGAUGAACGAGAGAACAUUGUGUUACAAUUUUUGACCGAUAAGAACAUUGUGUUGAAUUGUUAAAAAGUUUAUGAGAAUAUCGAAAACAACAAGGUAAAGUCUUCGACUACCAAAAUAAUUAAAUUCACUCUUGUUCUCUAUCAAGUUGAAUCAGAAUUCUAUUACAUUUGCUUAAGAUGAACGAGAGAACAUUGUGUUACAAUUUUUGACCGAUAAGAACAUUGUGUUGAAUUGUUAAAAAGUUUAUGAGAAUAUCGAAAACAACAAGGUAAAGUCUUCGACUACCAAAAUAAUUAAAUUCACUCUUGUUCUCUAUCAAGUUGAAUCAGAAUUCUAUUACAUUUGCUUAAGAUGAACGAGAGAACAUUGUGUUACAAUUUUUGACCGAUAAGAACAUUGUGUUGAAUUGUUAAAAAGUUUAUGAGAAUAUCGAAAACAACAAGGUAAAGUCUUCGACUACCAAAAUAAUUAAAUUCACUCUUGUUCUCUAUCAAGUUGAAUCAGAAUUCUAUUACAUUUGCUUAAGAUGAACGAGAGAACAUUGUGUUACAAUUUUUGACCGAUAAGAACAUUGUGUUGAAUUGUUAAAAAGUUUAUGAGAAUAUCGAAAACAACAAGGUAAAGUCUUCGACUACCAAAAUAAUUAAAUUCACUCUUGUUCUCUAUCAAGUUGAAUCAGAAUUCUAUUACAUUUGCUUAAGAUGAACGAGAGAACAUUGUGUUACAAUUUUUGACCGAUAAGAACAUUGUGUUGAAUUGUUAAAAAGUUUAUGAGAAUAUCGAAAACAACAAGGUAAAGUCUUCGACUACCAAAAUAAUUAAAUUCACUCUUGUUCUCUAUCAAGUUGAAUCAGAAUUCUAUUACAUUUGCUUAAGAUGAACGAGAGAACAUUGUGUUACAAUUUUUGACCGAUAAGAACAUUGUGUUGAAUUGUUAAAAAGUUUAUGAGAAUAUCGAAAACAACAAGGUAAAGUCUUCGACUACCAAAAUAAUUAAAUUCACUCUUGUUCUCUAUCAAGUUGAAUCAGAAUUCUAUUACAUUUGCUUAAGAUGAACGAGAGAACAUUGUGUUACAAUUUUUGACCGAUAAGAACAUUGUGUUGAAUUGUUAAAAAGUUUAUGAGAAUAUCGAAAACAACAAGGUAAAGUCUUCGACUACCAAAAUAAUUAAAUUCACUCUUGUUCUCUAUCAAGUUGAAUCAGAAUUCUAUUACAUUUGCUUAAGAUGAACGAGAGAACAUUGUGUUACAAUUUUUGACCGAUAAGAACAUUGUGUUGAAUUGUUAAAAAGUUUAUGAGAAUAUCGAAAACAACAAGGUAAAGUCUUCGACUACCAAAAUAAUUAAAUUCACUCUUGUUCUCUAUCAAGUUGAAUCAGAAUUCUAUUACAUUUGCUUAAGAUGAACGAGAGAACAUUGUGUUACAAUUUUUGACCGAUAAGAACAUUGUGUUGAAUUGUUAAAAAGUUUAUGAGAAUAUCGAAAACAACAAGGUAAAGUCUUCGACUACCAAAAUAAUUAAAUUCACUCUUGUUCUCUAUCAAGUUGAAUCAGAAUUCUAUUACAUUUGCUUAAGAUGAACGAGAGAACAUUGUGUUACAAUUUUUGACCGAUAAGAACAUUGUGUUGAAUUGUUAAAAAGUUUAUGAGAAUAUCGAAAACAACAAGGUAAAGUCUUCGACUACCAAAAUAAUUAAAUUCACUCUUGUUCUCUAUCAAGUUGAAUCAGAAUUCUAUUACAUUUGCUUAAGAUGAACGAGAGAACAUUGUGUUACAAUUUUUGACCGAUAAGAACAUUGUGUUGAAUUGUUAAAAAGUUUAUGAGAAUAUCGAAAACAACAAGGUAAAGUCUUCGACUACCAAAAUAAUUAAAUUCACUCUUGUUCUCUAUCAAGUUGAAUCAGAAUUCUAUUACAUUUGCUUAAGAUGAACGAGAGAACAUUGUGUUACAAUUUUUGACCGAUAAGAACAUUGUGUUGAAUUGUUAAAAAGUUUAUGAGAAUAUCGAAAACAACAAGGUAAAGUCUUCGACUACCAAAAUAAUUAAAUUCACUCUUGUUCUCUAUCAAGUUGAAUCAGAAUUCUAUUACAUUUGCUUAAGAUGAACGAGAGAACAUUGUGUUACAAUUUUUGACCGAUAAGAACAUUGUGUUGAAUUGUUAAAAAGUUUAUGAGAAUAUCGAAAACAACAAGGUAAAGUCUUCGACUACCAAAAUAAUUAAAUUCACUCUUGUUCUCUAUCAAGUUGAAUCAGAAUUCUAUUACAUUUGCUUAAGAUGAACGAGAGAACAUUGUGUUACAAUUUUUGACCGAUAAGAACAUUGUGUUGAAUUGUUAAAAAGUUUAUGAGAAUAUCGAAAACAACAAGGUAAAGUCUUCGACUACCAAAAUAAUUAAAUUCACUCUUGUUCUCUAUCAAGUUGAAUCAGAAUUCUAUUACAUUUGCUUAAGAUGAACGAGAGAACAUUGUGUUACAAUUUUUGACCGAUAAGAACAUUGUGUUGAAUUGUUAAAAAGUUUAUGAGAAUAUCGAAAACAACAAGGUAAAGUCUUCGACUACCAAAAUAAUUAAAUUCACUCUUGUUCUCUAUCAAGUUGAAUCAGAAUUCUAUUACAUUUGCUUAAGAUGAACGAGAGAACAUUGUGUUACAAUUUUUGACCGAUAAGAACAUUGUGUUGAAUUGUUAAAAAGUUUAUGAGAAUAUCGAAAACAACAAGGUAAAGUCUUCGACUACCAAAAUAAUUAAAUUCACUCUUGUUCUCUAUCAAGUUGAAUCAGAAUUCUAUUACAUUUGCUUAAGAUGAACGAGAGAACAUUGUGUUACAAUUUUUGACCGAUAAGAACAUUGUGUUGAAUUGUUAAAAAGUUUAUGAGAAUAUCGAAAACAACAAGGUAAAGUCUUCGACUACCAAAAUAAUUAAAUUCACUCUUGUUCUCUAUCAAGUUGAAUCAGAAUUCUAUUACAUUUGCUUAAGAUGAACGAGAGAACAUUGUGUUACAAUUUUUGACCGAUAAGAACAUUGUGUUGAAUUGUUAAAAAGUUUAUGAGAAUAUCGAAAACAACAAGGUAAAGUCUUCGACUACCAAAAUAAUUAAAUUCACUCUUGUUCUCUAUCAAGUUGAAUCAGAAUUCUAUUACAUUUGCUUAAGAUGAACGAGAGAACAUUGUGUUACAAUUUUUGACCGAUAAGAACAUUGUGUUGAAUUGUUAAAAAGUUUAUGAGAAUAUCGAAAACAACAAGGUAAAGUCUUCGACUACCAAAAUAAUUAAAUUCACUCUUGUUCUCUAUCAAGUUGAAUCAGAAUUCUAUUACAUUUGCUUAAGAUGAACGAGAGAACAUUGUGUUACAAUUUUUGACCGAUAAGAACAUUGUGUUGAAUUGUUAAAAAGUUUAUGAGAAUAUCGAAAACAACAAGGUAAAGUCUUCGACUACCAAAAUAAUUAAAUUCACUCUUGUUCUCUAUCAAGUUGAAUCAGAAUUCUAUUACAUUUGCUUAAGAUGAACGAGAGAACAUUGUGUUACAAUUUUUGACCGAUAAGAACAUUGUGUUGAAUUGUUAAAAAGUUUAUGAGAAUAUCGAAAACAACAAGGUAAAGUCUUCGACUACCAAAAUAAUUAAAUUCACUCUUGUUCUCUAUCAAGUUGAAUCAGAAUUCUAUUACAUUUGCUUAAGAUGAACGAGAGAACAUUGUGUUACAAUUUUUGACCGAUAAGAACAUUGUGUUGAAUUGUUAAAAAGUUUAUGAGAAUAUCGAAAACAACAAGGUAAAGUCUUCGACUACCAAAAUAAUUAAAUUCACUCUUGUUCUCUAUCAAGUUGAAUCAGAAUUCUAUUACAUUUGCUUAAGAUGAACGAGAGAACAUUGUGUUACAAUUUUUGACCGAUAAGAACAUUGUGUUGAAUUGUUAAAAAGUUUAUGAGAAUAUCGAAAACAACAAGGUAAAGUCUUCGACUACCAAAAUAAUUAAAUUCACUCUUGUUCUCUAUCAAGUUGAAUCAGAAUUCUAUUACAUUUGCUUAAGAUGAACGAGAGAACAUUGUGUUACAAUUUUUGACCGAUAAGAACAUUGUGUUGAAUUGUUAAAAAGUUUAUGAGAAUAUCGAAAACAACAAGGUAAAGUCUUCGACUACCAAAAUAAUUAAAUUCACUCUUGUUCUCUAUCAAGUUGAAUCAGAAUUCUAUUACAUUUGCUUAAGAUGAACGAGAGAACAUUGUGUUACAAUUUUUGACCGAUAAGAACAUUGUGUUGAAUUGUUAAAAAGUUUAUGAGAAUAUCGAAAACAACAAGGUAAAGUCUUCGACUACCAAAAUAAUUAAAUUCACUCUUGUUCUCUAUCAAGUUGAAUCAGAAUUCUAUUACAUUUGCUUAAGAUGAACGAGAGAACAUUGUGUUACAAUUUUUGACCGAUAAGAACAUUGUGUUGAAUUGUUAAAAAGUUUAUGAGAAUAUCGAAAACAACAAGGUAAAGUCUUCGACUACCAAAAUAAUUAAAUUCACUCUUGUUCUCUAUCAAGUUGAAUCAGAAUUCUAUUACAUUUGCUUAAGAUGAACGAGAGAACAUUGUGUUACAAUUUUUGACCGAUAAGAACAUUGUGUUGAAUUGUUAAAAAGUUUAUGAGAAUAUCGAAAACAACAAGGUAAAGUCUUCGACUACCAAAAUAAUUAAAUUCACUCUUGUUCUCUAUCAAGUUGAAUCAGAAUUCUAUUACAUUUGCUUAAGAUGAACGAGAGAACAUUGUGUUACAAUUUUUGACCGAUAAGAACAUUGUGUUGAAUUGUUAAAAAGUUUAUGAGAAUAUCGAAAACAACAAGGUAAAGUCUUCGACUACCAAAAUAAUUAAAUUCACUCUUGUUCUCUAUCAAGUUGAAUCAGAAUUCUAUUACAUUUGCUUAAGAUGAACGAGAGAACAUUGUGUUACAAUUUUUGACCGAUAAGAACAUUGUGUUGAAUUGUUAAAAAGUUUAUGAGAAUAUCGAAAACAACAAGGUAAAGUCUUCGACUACCAAAAUAAUUAAAUUCACUCUUGUUCUCUAUCAAGUUGAAUCAGAAUUCUAUUACAUUUGCUUAAGAUGAACGAGAGAACAUUGUGUUACAAUUUUUGACCGAUAAGAACAUUGUGUUGAAUUGUUAAAAAGUUUAUGAGAAUAUCGAAAACAACAAGGUAAAGUCUUCGACUACCAAAAUAAUUAAAUUCACUCUUGUUCUCUAUCAAGUUGAAUCAGAAUUCUAUUACAUUUGCUUAAGAUGAACGAGAGAACAUUGUGUUACAAUUUUUGACCGAUAAGAACAUUGUGUUGAAUUGUUAAAAAGUUUAUGAGAAUAUCGAAAACAACAAGGUAAAGUCUUCGACUACCAAAAUAAUUAAAUUCACUCUUGUUCUCUAUCAAGUUGAAUCAGAAUUCUAUUACAUUUGCUUAAGAUGAACGAGAGAACAUUGUGUUACAAUUUUUGACCGAUAAGAACAUUGUGUUGAAUUGUUAAAAAGUUUAUGAGAAUAUCGAAAACAACAAGGUAAAGUCUUCGACUACCAAAAUAAUUAAAUUCACUCUUGUUCUCUAUCAAGUUGAAUCAGAAUUCUAUUACAUUUGCUUAAGAUGAACGAGAGAACAUUGUGUUACAAUUUUUGACCGAUAAGAACAUUGUGUUGAAUUGUUAAAAAGUUUAUGAGAAUAUCGAAAACAACAAGGUAAAGUCUUCGACUACCAAAAUAAUUAAAUUCACUCUUGUUCUCUAUCAAGUUGAAUCAGAAUUCUAUUACAUUUGCUUAAGAUGAACGAGAGAACAUUGUGUUACAAUUUUUGACCGAUAAGAACAUUGUGUUGAAUUGUUAAAAAGUUUAUGAGAAUAUCGAAAACAACAAGGUAAAGUCUUCGACUACCAAAAUAAUUAAAUUCACUCUUGUUCUCUAUCAAGUUGAAUCAGAAUUCUAUUACAUUUGCUUAAGAUGAACGAGAGAACAUUGUGUUACAAUUUUUGACCGAUAAGAACAUUGUGUUGAAUUGUUAAAAAGUUUAUGAGAAUAUCGAAAACAACAAGGUAAAGUCUUCGACUACCAAAAUAAUUAAAUUCACUCUUGUUCUCUAUCAAGUUGAAUCAGAAUUCUAUUACAUUUGCUUAAGAUGAACGAGAGAACAUUGUGUUACAAUUUUUGACCGAUAAGAACAUUGUGUUGAAUUGUUAAAAAGUUUAUGAGAAUAUCGAAAACAACAAGGUAAAGUCUUCGACUACCAAAAUAAUUAAAUUCACUCUUGUUCUCUAUCAAGUUGAAUCAGAAUUCUAUUACAUUUGCUUAAGAUGAACGAGAGAACAUUGUGUUACAAUUUUUGACCGAUAAGAACAUUGUGUUGAAUUGUUAAAAAGUUUAUGAGAAUAUCGAAAACAACAAGGUAAAGUCUUCGACUACCAAAAUAAUUAAAUUCACUCUUGUUCUCUAUCAAGUUGAAUCAGAAUUCUAUUACAUUUGCUUAAGAUGAACGAGAGAACAUUGUGUUACAAUUUUUGACCGAUAAGAACAUUGUGUUGAAUUGUUAAAAAGUUUAUGAGAAUAUCGAAAACAACAAGGUAAAGUCUUCGACUACCAAAAUAAUUAAAUUCACUCUUGUUCUCUAUCAAGUUGAAUCAGAAUUCUAUUACAUUUGCUUAAGAUGAACGAGAGAACAUUGUGUUACAAUUUUUGACCGAUAAGAACAUUGUGUUGAAUUGUUAAAAAGUUUAUGAGAAUAUCGAAAACAACAAGGUAAAGUCUUCGACUACCAAAAUAAUUAAAUUCACUCUUGUUCUCUAUCAAGUUGAAUCAGAAUUCUAUUACAUUUGCUUAAGAUGAACGAGAGAACAUUGUGUUACAAUUUUUGACCGAUAAGAACAUUGUGUUGAAUUGUUAAAAAGUUUAUGAGAAUAUCGAAAACAACAAGGUAAAGUCUUCGACUACCAAAAUAAUUAAAUUCACUCUUGUUCUCUAUCAAGUUGAAUCAGAAUUCUAUUACAUUUGCUUAAGAUGAACGAGAGAACAUUGUGUUACAAUUUUUGACCGAUAAGAACAUUGUGUUGAAUUGUUAAAAAGUUUAUGAGAAUAUCGAAAACAACAAGGUAAAGUCUUCGACUACCAAAAUAAUUAAAUUCACUCUUGUUCUCUAUCAAGUUGAAUCAGAAUUCUAUUACAUUUGCUUAAGAUGAACGAGAGAACAUUGUGUUACAAUUUUUGACCGAUAAGAACAUUGUGUUGAAUUGUUAAAAAGUUUAUGAGAAUAUCGAAAACAACAAGGUAAAGUCUUCGACUACCAAAAUAAUUAAAUUCACUCUUGUUCUCUAUCAAGUUGAAUCAGAAUUCUAUUACAUUUGCUUAAGAUGAACGAGAGAACAUUGUGUUACAAUUUUUGACCGAUAAGAACAUUGUGUUGAAUUGUUAAAAAGUUUAUGAGAAUAUCGAAAACAACAAGGUAAAGUCUUCGACUACCAAAAUAAUUAAAUUCACUCUUGUUCUCUAUCAAGUUGAAUCAGAAUUCUAUUACAUUUGCUUAAGAUGAACGAGAGAACAUUGUGUUACAAUUUUUGACCGAUAAGAACAUUGUGUUGAAUUGUUAAAAAGUUUAUGAGAAUAUCGAAAACAACAAGGUAAAGUCUUCGACUACCAAAAUAAUUAAAUUCACUCUUGUUCUCUAUCAAGUUGAAUCAGAAUUCUAUUACAUUUGCUUAAGAUGAACGAGAGAACAUUGUGUUACAAUUUUUGACCGAUAAGAACAUUGUGUUGAAUUGUUAAAAAGUUUAUGAGAAUAUCGAAAACAACAAGGUAAAGUCUUCGACUACCAAAAUAAUUAAAUUCACUCUUGUUCUCUAUCAAGUUGAAUCAGAAUUCUAUUACAUUUGCUUAAGAUGAACGAGAGAACAUUGUGUUACAAUUUUUGACCGAUAAGAACAUUGUGUUGAAUUGUUAAAAAGUUUAUGAGAAUAUCGAAAACAACAAGGUAAAGUCUUCGACUACCAAAAUAAUUAAAUUCACUCUUGUUCUCUAUCAAGUUGAAUCAGAAUUCUAUUACAUUUGCUUAAGAUGAACGAGAGAACAUUGUGUUACAAUUUUUGACCGAUAAGAACAUUGUGUUGAAUUGUUAAAAAGUUUAUGAGAAUAUCGAAAACAACAAGGUAAAGUCUUCGACUACCAAAAUAAUUAAAUUCACUCUUGUUCUCUAUCAAGUUGAAUCAGAAUUCUAUUACAUUUGCUUAAGAUGAACGAGAGAACAUUGUGUUACAAUUUUUGACCGAUAAGAACAUUGUGUUGAAUUGUUAAAAAGUUUAUGAGAAUAUCGAAAACAACAAGGUAAAGUCUUCGACUACCAAAAUAAUUAAAUUCACUCUUGUUCUCUAUCAAGUUGAAUCAGAAUUCUAUUACAUUUGCUUAAGAUGAACGAGAGAACAUUGUGUUACAAUUUUUGACCGAUAAGAACAUUGUGUUGAAUUGUUAAAAAGUUUAUGAGAAUAUCGAAAACAACAAGGUAAAGUCUUCGACUACCAAAAUAAUUAAAUUCACUCUUGUUCUCUAUCAAGUUGAAUCAGAAUUCUAUUACAUUUGCUUAAGAUGAACGAGAGAACAUUGUGUUACAAUUUUUGACCGAUAAGAACAUUGUGUUGAAUUGUUAAAAAGUUUAUGAGAAUAUCGAAAACAACAAGGUAAAGUCUUCGACUACCAAAAUAAUUAAAUUCACUCUUGUUCUCUAUCAAGUUGAAUCAGAAUUCUAUUACAUUUGCUUAAGAUGAACGAGAGAACAUUGUGUUACAAUUUUUGACCGAUAAGAACAUUGUGUUGAAUUGUUAAAAAGUUUAUGAGAAUAUCGAAAACAACAAGGUAAAGUCUUCGACUACCAAAAUAAUUAAAUUCACUCUUGUUCUCUAUCAAGUUGAAUCAGAAUUCUAUUACAUUUGCUUAAGAUGAACGAGAGAACAUUGUGUUACAAUUUUUGACCGAUAAGAACAUUGUGUUGAAUUGUUAAAAAGUUUAUGAGAAUAUCGAAAACAACAAGGUAAAGUCUUCGACUACCAAAAUAAUUAAAUUCACUCUUGUUCUCUAUCAAGUUGAAUCAGAAUUCUAUUACAUUUGCUUAAGAUGAACGAGAGAACAUUGUGUUACAAUUUUUGACCGAUAAGAACAUUGUGUUGAAUUGUUAAAAAGUUUAUGAGAAUAUCGAAAACAACAAGGUAAAGUCUUCGACUACCAAAAUAAUUAAAUUCACUCUUGUUCUCUAUCAAGUUGAAUCAGAAUUCUAUUACAUUUGCUUAAGAUGAACGAGAGAACAUUGUGUUACAAUUUUUGACCGAUAAGAACAUUGUGUUGAAUUGUUAAAAAGUUUAUGAGAAUAUCGAAAACAACAAGGUAAAGUCUUCGACUACCAAAAUAAUUAAAUUCACUCUUGUUCUCUAUCAAGUUGAAUCAGAAUUCUAUUACAUUUGCUUAAGAUGAACGAGAGAACAUUGUGUUACAAUUUUUGACCGAUAAGAACAUUGUGUUGAAUUGUUAAAAAGUUUAUGAGAAUAUCGAAAACAACAAGGUAAAGUCUUCGACUACCAAAAUAAUUAAAUUCACUCUUGUUCUCUAUCAAGUUGAAUCAGAAUUCUAUUACAUUUGCUUAAGAUGAACGAGAGAACAUUGUGUUACAAUUUUUGACCGAUAAGAACAUUGUGUUGAAUUGUUAAAAAGUUUAUGAGAAUAUCGAAAACAACAAGGUAAAGUCUUCGACUACCAAAAUAAUUAAAUUCACUCUUGUUCUCUAUCAAGUUGAAUCAGAAUUCUAUUACAUUUGCUUAAGAUGAACGAGAGAACAUUGUGUUACAAUUUUUGACCGAUAAGAACAUUGUGUUGAAUUGUUAAAAAGUUUAUGAGAAUAUCGAAAACAACAAGGUAAAGUCUUCGACUACCAAAAUAAUUAAAUUCACUCUUGUUCUCUAUCAAGUUGAAUCAGAAUUCUAUUACAUUUGCUUAAGAUGAACGAGAGAACAUUGUGUUACAAUUUUUGACCGAUAAGAACAUUGUGUUGAAUUGUUAAAAAGUUUAUGAGAAUAUCGAAAACAACAAGGUAAAGUCUUCGACUACCAAAAUAAUUAAAUUCACUCUUGUUCUCUAUCAAGUUGAAUCAGAAUUCUAUUACAUUUGCUUAAGAUGAACGAGAGAACAUUGUGUUACAAUUUUUGACCGAUAAGAACAUUGUGUUGAAUUGUUAAAAAGUUUAUGAGAAUAUCGAAAACAACAAGGUAAAGUCUUCGACUACCAAAAUAAUUAAAUUCACUCUUGUUCUCUAUCAAGUUGAAUCAGAAUUCUAUUACAUUUGCUUAAGAUGAACGAGAGAACAUUGUGUUACAAUUUUUGACCGAUAAGAACAUUGUGUUGAAUUGUUAAAAAGUUUAUGAGAAUAUCGAAAACAACAAGGUAAAGUCUUCGACUACCAAAAUAAUUAAAUUCACUCUUGUUCUCUAUCAAGUUGAAUCAGAAUUCUAUUACAUUUGCUUAAGAUGAACGAGAGAACAUUGUGUUACAAUUUUUGACCGAUAAGAACAUUGUGUUGAAUUGUUAAAAAGUUUAUGAGAAUAUCGAAAACAACAAGGUAAAGUCUUCGACUACCAAAAUAAUUAAAUUCACUCUUGUUCUCUAUCAAGUUGAAUCAGAAUUCUAUUACAUUUGCUUAAGAUGAACGAGAGAACAUUGUGUUACAAUUUUUGACCGAUAAGAACAUUGUGUUGAAUUGUUAAAAAGUUUAUGAGAAUAUCGAAAACAACAAGGUAAAGUCUUCGACUACCAAAAUAAUUAAAUUCACUCUUGUUCUCUAUCAAGUUGAAUCAGAAUUCUAUUACAUUUGCUUAAGAUGAACGAGAGAACAUUGUGUUACAAUUUUUGACCGAUAAGAACAUUGUGUUGAAUUGUUAAAAAGUUUAUGAGAAUAUCGAAAACAACAAGGUAAAGUCUUCGACUACCAAAAUAAUUAAAUUCACUCUUGUUCUCUAUCAAGUUGAAUCAGAAUUCUAUUACAUUUGCUUAAGAUGAACGAGAGAACAUUGUGUUACAAUUUUUGACCGAUAAGAACAUUGUGUUGAAUUGUUAAAAAGUUUAUGAGAAUAUCGAAAACAACAAGGUAAAGUCUUCGACUACCAAAAUAAUUAAAUUCACUCUUGUUCUCUAUCAAGUUGAAUCAGAAUUCUAUUACAUUUGCUUAAGAUGAACGAGAGAACAUUGUGUUACAAUUUUUGACCGAUAAGAACAUUGUGUUGAAUUGUUAAAAAGUUUAUGAGAAUAUCGAAAACAACAAGGUAAAGUCUUCGACUACCAAAAUAAUUAAAUUCACUCUUGUUCUCUAUCAAGUUGAAUCAGAAUUCUAUUACAUUUGCUUAAGAUGAACGAGAGAACAUUGUGUUACAAUUUUUGACCGAUAAGAACAUUGUGUUGAAUUGUUAAAAAGUUUAUGAGAAUAUCGAAAACAACAAGGUAAAGUCUUCGACUACCAAAAUAAUUAAAUUCACUCUUGUUCUCUAUCAAGUUGAAUCAGAAUUCUAUUACAUUUGCUUAAGAUGAACGAGAGAACAUUGUGUUACAAUUUUUGACCGAUAAGAACAUUGUGUUGAAUUGUUAAAAAGUUUAUGAGAAUAUCGAAAACAACAAGGUAAAGUCUUCGACUACCAAAAUAAUUAAAUUCACUCUUGUUCUCUAUCAAGUUGAAUCAGAAUUCUAUUACAUUUGCUUAAGAUGAACGAGAGAACAUUGUGUUACAAUUUUUGACCGAUAAGAACAUUGUGUUGAAUUGUUAAAAAGUUUAUGAGAAUAUCGAAAACAACAAGGUAAAGUCUUCGACUACCAAAAUAAUUAAAUUCACUCUUGUUCUCUAUCAAGUUGAAUCAGAAUUCUAUUACAUUUGCUUAAGAUGAACGAGAGAACAUUGUGUUACAAUUUUUGACCGAUAAGAACAUUGUGUUGAAUUGUUAAAAAGUUUAUGAGAAUAUCGAAAACAACAAGGUAAAGUCUUCGACUACCAAAAUAAUUAAAUUCACUCUUGUUCUCUAUCAAGUUGAAUCAGAAUUCUAUUACAUUUGCUUAAGAUGAACGAGAGAACAUUGUGUUACAAUUUUUGACCGAUAAGAACAUUGUGUUGAAUUGUUAAAAAGUUUAUGAGAAUAUCGAAAACAACAAGGUAAAGUCUUCGACUACCAAAAUAAUUAAAUUCACUCUUGUUCUCUAUCAAGUUGAAUCAGAAUUCUAUUACAUUUGCUUAAGAUGAACGAGAGAACAUUGUGUUACAAUUUUUGACCGAUAAGAACAUUGUGUUGAAUUGUUAAAAAGUUUAUGAGAAUAUCGAAAACAACAAGGUAAAGUCUUCGACUACCAAAAUAAUUAAAUUCACUCUUGUUCUCUAUCAAGUUGAAUCAGAAUUCUAUUACAUUUGCUUAAGAUGAACGAGAGAACAUUGUGUUACAAUUUUUGACCGAUAAGAACAUUGUGUUGAAUUGUUAAAAAGUUUAUGAGAAUAUCGAAAACAACAAGGUAAAGUCUUCGACUACCAAAAUAAUUAAAUUCACUCUUGUUCUCUAUCAAGUUGAAUCAGAAUUCUAUUACAUUUGCUUAAGAUGAACGAGAGAACAUUGUGUUACAAUUUUUGACCGAUAAGAACAUUGUGUUGAAUUGUUAAAAAGUUUAUGAGAAUAUCGAAAACAACAAGGUAAAGUCUUCGACUACCAAAAUAAUUAAAUUCACUCUUGUUCUCUAUCAAGUUGAAUCAGAAUUCUAUUACAUUUGCUUAAGAUGAACGAGAGAACAUUGUGUUACAAUUUUUGACCGAUAAGAACAUUGUGUUGAAUUGUUAAAAAGUUUAUGAGAAUAUCGAAAACAACAAGGUAAAGUCUUCGACUACCAAAAUAAUUAAAUUCACUCUUGUUCUCUAUCAAGUUGAAUCAGAAUUCUAUUACAUUUGCUUAAGAUGAACGAGAGAACAUUGUGUUACAAUUUUUGACCGAUAAGAACAUUGUGUUGAAUUGUUAAAAAGUUUAUGAGAAUAUCGAAAACAACAAGGUAAAGUCUUCGACUACCAAAAUAAUUAAAUUCACUCUUGUUCUCUAUCAAGUUGAAUCAGAAUUCUAUUACAUUUGCUUAAGAUGAACGAGAGAACAUUGUGUUACAAUUUUUGACCGAUAAGAACAUUGUGUUGAAUUGUUAAAAAGUUUAUGAGAAUAUCGAAAACAACAAGGUAAAGUCUUCGACUACCAAAAUAAUUAAAUUCACUCUUGUUCUCUAUCAAGUUGAAUCAGAAUUCUAUUACAUUUGCUUAAGAUGAACGAGAGAACAUUGUGUUACAAUUUUUGACCGAUAAGAACAUUGUGUUGAAUUGUUAAAAAGUUUAUGAGAAUAUCGAAAACAACAAGGUAAAGUCUUCGACUACCAAAAUAAUUAAAUUCACUCUUGUUCUCUAUCAAGUUGAAUCAGAAUUCUAUUACAUUUGCUUAAGAUGAACGAGAGAACAUUGUGUUACAAUUUUUGACCGAUAAGAACAUUGUGUUGAAUUGUUAAAAAGUUUAUGAGAAUAUCGAAAACAACAAGGUAAAGUCUUCGACUACCAAAAUAAUUAAAUUCACUCUUGUUCUCUAUCAAGUUGAAUCAGAAUUCUAUUACAUUUGCUUAAGAUGAACGAGAGAACAUUGUGUUACAAUUUUUGACCGAUAAGAACAUUGUGUUGAAUUGUUAAAAAGUUUAUGAGAAUAUCGAAAACAACAAGGUAAAGUCUUCGACUACCAAAAUAAUUAAAUUCACUCUUGUUCUCUAUCAAGUUGAAUCAGAAUUCUAUUACAUUUGCUUAAGAUGAACGAGAGAACAUUGUGUUACAAUUUUUGACCGAUAAGAACAUUGUGUUGAAUUGUUAAAAAGUUUAUGAGAAUAUCGAAAACAACAAGGUAAAGUCUUCGACUACCAAAAUAAUUAAAUUCACUCUUGUUCUCUAUCAAGUUGAAUCAGAAUUCUAUUACAUUUGCUUAAGAUGAACGAGAGAACAUUGUGUUACAAUUUUUGACCGAUAAGAACAUUGUGUUGAAUUGUUAAAAAGUUUAUGAGAAUAUCGAAAACAACAAGGUAAAGUCUUCGACUACCAAAAUAAUUAAAUUCACUCUUGUUCUCUAUCAAGUUGAAUCAGAAUUCUAUUACAUUUGCUUAAGAUGAACGAGAGAACAUUGUGUUACAAUUUUUGACCGAUAAGAACAUUGUGUUGAAUUGUUAAAAAGUUUAUGAGAAUAUCGAAAACAACAAGGUAAAGUCUUCGACUACCAAAAUAAUUAAAUUCACUCUUGUUCUCUAUCAAGUUGAAUCAGAAUUCUAUUACAUUUGCUUAAGAUGAACGAGAGAACAUUGUGUUACAAUUUUUGACCGAUAAGAACAUUGUGUUGAAUUGUUAAAAAGUUUAUGAGAAUAUCGAAAACAACAAGGUAAAGUCUUCGACUACCAAAAUAAUUAAAUUCACUCUUGUUCUCUAUCAAGUUGAAUCAGAAUUCUAUUACAUUUGCUUAAGAUGAACGAGAGAACAUUGUGUUACAAUUUUUGACCGAUAAGAACAUUGUGUUGAAUUGUUAAAAAGUUUAUGAGAAUAUCGAAAACAACAAGGUAAAGUCUUCGACUACCAAAAUAAUUAAAUUCACUCUUGUUCUCUAUCAAGUUGAAUCAGAAUUCUAUUACAUUUGCUUAAGAUGAACGAGAGAACAUUGUGUUACAAUUUUUGACCGAUAAGAACAUUGUGUUGAAUUGUUAAAAAGUUUAUGAGAAUAUCGAAAACAACAAGGUAAAGUCUUCGACUACCAAAAUAAUUAAAUUCACUCUUGUUCUCUAUCAAGUUGAAUCAGAAUUCUAUUACAUUUGCUUAAGAUGAACGAGAGAACAUUGUGUUACAAUUUUUGACCGAUAAGAACAUUGUGUUGAAUUGUUAAAAAGUUUAUGAGAAUAUCGAAAACAACAAGGUAAAGUCUUCGACUACCAAAAUAAUUAAAUUCACUCUUGUUCUCUAUCAAGUUGAAUCAGAAUUCUAUUACAUUUGCUUAAGAUGAACGAGAGAACAUUGUGUUACAAUUUUUGACCGAUAAGAACAUUGUGUUGAAUUGUUAAAAAGUUUAUGAGAAUAUCGAAAACAACAAGGUAAAGUCUUCGACUACCAAAAUAAUUAAAUUCACUCUUGUUCUCUAUCAAGUUGAAUCAGAAUUCUAUUACAUUUGCUUAAGAUGAACGAGAGAACAUUGUGUUACAAUUUUUGACCGAUAAGAACAUUGUGUUGAAUUGUUAAAAAGUUUAUGAGAAUAUCGAAAACAACAAGGUAAAGUCUUCGACUACCAAAAUAAUUAAAUUCACUCUUGUUCUCUAUCAAGUUGAAUCAGAAUUCUAUUACAUUUGCUUAAGAUGAACGAGAGAACAUUGUGUUACAAUUUUUGACCGAUAAGAACAUUGUGUUGAAUUGUUAAAAAGUUUAUGAGAAUAUCGAAAACAACAAGGUAAAGUCUUCGACUACCAAAAUAAUUAAAUUCACUCUUGUUCUCUAUCAAGUUGAAUCAGAAUUCUAUUACAUUUGCUUAAGAUGAACGAGAGAACAUUGUGUUACAAUUUUUGACCGAUAAGAACAUUGUGUUGAAUUGUUAAAAAGUUUAUGAGAAUAUCGAAAACAACAAGGUAAAGUCUUCGACUACCAAAAUAAUUAAAUUCACUCUUGUUCUCUAUCAAGUUGAAUCAGAAUUCUAUUACAUUUGCUUAAGAUGAACGAGAGAACAUUGUGUUACAAUUUUUGACCGAUAAGAACAUUGUGUUGAAUUGUUAAAAAGUUUAUGAGAAUAUCGAAAACAACAAGGUAAAGUCUUCGACUACCAAAAUAAUUAAAUUCACUCUUGUUCUCUAUCAAGUUGAAUCAGAAUUCUAUUACAUUUGCUUAAGAUGAACGAGAGAACAUUGUGUUACAAUUUUUGACCGAUAAGAACAUUGUGUUGAAUUGUUAAAAAGUUUAUGAGAAUAUCGAAAACAACAAGGUAAAGUCUUCGACUACCAAAAUAAUUAAAUUCACUCUUGUUCUCUAUCAAGUUGAAUCAGAAUUCUAUUACAUUUGCUUAAGAUGAACGAGAGAACAUUGUGUUACAAUUUUUGACCGAUAAGAACAUUGUGUUGAAUUGUUAAAAAGUUUAUGAGAAUAUCGAAAACAACAAGGUAAAGUCUUCGACUACCAAAAUAAUUAAAUUCACUCUUGUUCUCUAUCAAGUUGAAUCAGAAUUCUAUUACAUUUGCUUAAGAUGAACGAGAGAACAUUGUGUUACAAUUUUUGACCGAUAAGAACAUUGUGUUGAAUUGUUAAAAAGUUUAUGAGAAUAUCGAAAACAACAAGGUAAAGUCUUCGACUACCAAAAUAAUUAAAUUCACUCUUGUUCUCUAUCAAGUUGAAUCAGAAUUCUAUUACAUUUGCUUAAGAUGAACGAGAGAACAUUGUGUUAUUAAAAAAAAAUAUAUAAAUUAAAGUGUUGAAUUGUUAAAAAGUUUAUGAGAAUAUCGAAAACAACAAGGUAAAGUCUUCGACUACCAAAAUAAUUAAAUUCACUCUUGUUCUCUAUCAAGUUGAAUCAGAAUUCUAUUACAUUUGCUUAAGAUGAACGAGAGAACAUUGUGUUACAAUUUUUGACCGAUAAGAACAUUGUGUUGAAUUGUUAAAAAGUUUAUGAGAAUAUCGAAAACAACAAGGUAAAGUUUCGACUACCAAAAUAAUUAAAUUCACUCUUGUUCUCUAUCAAGUUGAAUCAGAAUUCUAUUACAUUUGCUUAAGAUGAACGAGAGAACAUUGUGUUACAAUUUUUGACCGAUAAGAACAUUGUGUUGAAUUGUUAAAAAGUUUAUGAGAAUAUCGAAAACAACAAGGUAAAGUCUUCGACUACCAAAAUAAUUAAAUUCACUCUUGUUCUCUAUCAAGUUGAAUCAGAAUUCUAUUACAUUUGCUUAAGGUGAACGAGAGAACAUUGUGUUACAAUUUUUGACCGAUAAGAAACCUAGACAUAUCUUUGUUGAAAAUUUAUGAAAUUAUUUAAAACUUCAUAAAUUUGAUUAAAAACUUUUUAACUUAGUAGUUUGAUUACAUAUUAUUGGCAAGUUUAGAGAUCCAAUAAUAAACUUGUUUAAUUCAAAAAUAUAUUUAAAAAUUUUCAAGUAUUUCAAUGAACUCCAAGUUAAUUAUAAGUUAAAGAUGUAUUUGAAAAUUCAGACUUAUUUAAAACUUCUUAAACAGUCGAACAACCUCGAAUGCAUAAUUGAAGGAAUAAAUCCUCAAAUUUUAUUUUAUUAUGAUGCUUUUCACUUUCUAAAUUCUAAGGCAAGUCAUGCACAUAUAUGACUUAUUGAUUGUGACAAAGUGAGAAUUCUAUAACAGCCACAUGAAACACACCAAAAAUGCAUUCCAAGUUCAUUUUCAUAGAGAUUUCCUCCUUAAUUAUGCGACUAGUUAAGUAAGGUCAAAUUUCUUGCUUCAUCUACAUAGCAAACACGAUGAAAUGAGUCCAUUUUCACAUCCGAGUCGUAAUAAGUUCUUGUUGAAAGUGAUUUACAAGCAUUUGGUUUCAAUUUUCCCUUGUAAGCCUUGCAAAUAUAUGUCACAAAAUUUUCGAAGUCCUAUAACCACAAGAAAAGGUAAAAGUGAUUAAGGAACUAAUAUACAAAUAAAAAAUGUUUAAUGUACAUUCACUUUUUUGAACAUCCGGUUGAUCACCUACAAAAAUAUAGUUAAUAUAGUUGAAUAGAUGAUUAAUUUAUAUCAGAUUGAAAAUUGUAGUUAAUCAUGUAAUUGAAUUAAUCAUAUUGUUUACUGUAAUUUAAAUUAACUAUUUACUUAACUCUGAAUUAAUAAAAAAAAAUUAUAUGAUUAACCAAGUGUGAUGUAAGUGUACAAAUAGUAAGUAAUCUUUAAUAUCAAUCACAAACCUCUUGGAGUGCAUGGUCAUUGACAACCACCCAUGGAACAAAUGUAUGAGGAGGAUUAAGUUUAUCAGUUUCCUUAGCAUACUUUUGUUCAAUCUGUUUGAUGCACAUAAAUAUUAUUAUUAGUCUUAAAUUGAUAUAUACUAGAAAAGAUACCUUCAAAAAGAAUUAUGUAGUUGUUGCAAUUAAUUAAUCAAUAUUAUUGGAUAAUUCAUUUCCAACUUCAUCAAAUAAUACCUAAAUAAGUUGACUUGGGUUCCACAAUUACAAGCCCAAAAAAUGUGAGUUUCUUCAGCUCCUUUAAAUUCUCAAAAUUUCUAAUUUUUUUUAGAUUGACCAUUAAUUCAGAUGUGUGUAUUUGAGAACAUAGAAGAAAAAAAAAUAUAUUUUUAAAAAAGUCGAUUAUUUUGAUAUAAUCAUGAUUCAACCAACCUAAUUUUUGUUUUCAGUUUGGCCCACUUAAUAUGACAGAUUUAUUUGACAAUCAUAUUUUUAUUAUAAAACACAUACAUAGGUUACAAUAUUGACAUAUUGAUACCAAUAUUAAUUUAAAAAAAUAAAUUAAUGGACCAUGUGACACAUUGAAACAUGUUUUCGAAUGAAGUGUUUGGAUGUAGAACAUUUUUACCUAAAGCAACUUCAUGAUUUUGUGACUAUGGUGAAUUAACUUUAUAAAAGAUAGCUGAAAAUACAAUUAAAUAUAUAUAUUAGAAUUAAAAUAAGAAAAAUAAAAGAACUAACCGAAUUUCCAUUGCCACUGUUGUAGCAGUCAAUUAUUGAUGUCGUUUGGAAGCAAUUAGACCAUUCUCUAUACCGAUCUUGUAAGGUGAGACGUUCUAUGCAUUCUAUAAAUCUGAAAUGUUUUGCCUGCAUCAUAUCAUCAUAAUAAUAUAUUAGUCAAUGCCCACAAUUCCAAAUUACUUUAAUUAUUAAUCAUAUCAUCAUAAUUUUUAAUUAUUAUAAAACUUUGAAAUAUUCUUUUUAAUCUUAUAAAAAAAUUAUAUUUUUUUAUUUUUAUAAAAUUAUUUUAUAAAUUAUUUUAGUAUCCCAAAUUACUUUAAAAAUAAAGAAUUAUUUUUUGUUAUUAUUUUAUGUUAUUAUUAAUUAACUCUCUUUAAAAAAAAAAUUAUCGAUGGAAUCACUAAUUUAAUGUGGUCGAAGUGAAUCUUCUUGCGGAUUAUUAGGCGGAAGUCAAAAAAAAUUACAAUUUAGUACUUUGAUUUGAACAAGAUAUUUGUUCAGUUUCUCAAGAACACCACAAAAAUAAUUGGUGUUAAAAAAAAUCAUUUCUUUUUAGUUUAAUUAACAUUUUAAUUUAUGUUCAUAAGAAAAAUAUGAAUGGUUAAACAAAACUUCAUUACUUUUAACCUAAAUGCAUUUUAGCUUCUAUCCUUAAAAAAAAUAUAAUUAUUUUUAAUCUAAUCAAUAUUUUAGUUUCUAUUCAUAAAUAUCAAUGUUUUGUAUGCUCUAAAUUGAGAGUGUAAUCAACAUAUUUUAGUUUGCAAAGAGAUAUUAAAUAUAAUAUUAAUUGUAUUAGUUAAAUGUUAGUUAGAUUAAUUAAUUAUUCUUAUUGUUUAUAUAAAUCUUAUUGUAAUUUAUCAUUUAACAAUAAUUUUUUUAUUAUUUAAUAUACAAUUUUUUUAUUUUAUGUUUACCUAUAAUUUUUAUCUAGAAUUUUAAUAAUAAGUUACACUGUUGCAAGGAAACUUUUUAAUUUUAUAAUUAACAGCAUCUACUUGGCUUAAAAUAUUCUACUUCAAUUAUAGCCAUAAAACAUCAAUGAUCUAGCAACAUAAUAAUGGAAAACGUAGCUGGCAAAACCAUUAAGGAAUCCCCAUUAAUAUGUUGUAUUGAUAAAAUAUAUUUUUUAUAAGCUAUUAAUCAUAUAUUUGCUUUGUAGAAUAAGCAAAAGUACUGAGGACAUUGUUUAAUAGAAAUUGUACCACAUCAGGAUAUAUUGCAAUGGUGCAGGCCUCGAUCGUGUUUAGGAAGCAUUCAUCUUUUCCAUGCUGCAAUUAUUUUAAAGACAUGUGAAAAAAUGAUGAGAACAAAAAACAAUUAUAUAAAACAAAAUAAAUUAUGUAUAUAACAAUCUUUUUUGUGAUAAUUAUGAGCAUAACAUAUAUUCCAUAUAGUUCUAAAAAUGAUGAGAGUGAGAAACAAUUAUAUUAUAAGUGGUUAUUUUUCACCCUAUAUUUCUAUAAAUUCACACAUUUGCUUGGAUUAUAUUUUUAGAUGAUAUUCAUAAUUAAGCAAAUUGUUGAACUGAAAUGAUUAAUGAGUUUCAUGUAAAAAAAUUGUUCGUGUAAAUUUAAGUUUAAAUUUUGACUAAAAUUACUUUUAUUAGAUUUUAUUUAUUUUUUAAUUGAACUUUAAAUUAUCAAUAUCCUUUUAUUUUUUUGAAAAAUCGUAAGAUUAAAGACAAAAAAUAAUUACAUGCAUAAUUUGUUUAAGAGUGUAUUUUUGAACAACAUAAAAUUUGUGUUCUUUUGAAUGAAGGUGAAAAAAGUUCAUAACUACUUUUAUUUUUCAUAUUUCUAGAAGAAAAAGAAAAACAUCUUUAUUUUGAAGUAUACUUUCAAACAGAAAAAAGUUGUUUCUAUUGAGAAGUAUACUUUCAGACAAAAAUAAAUAAAAAAAUAAAACUUUAUUUUAAUUAAUAAAUAUACUUCUAACGUGUAUGGGGUGGGAAAAUAAGAUUAGGUUAUCAUUAAGCCCAAUUAAUAAAGCCCAUUUGAUGAAAUGGGCCUGAACUCAAUUCGUUGAAACGAAGCACCCAAAAAAUAAUAGAAGUGUAAUUUUGGCGAAAAUAUGAAAAAUAAAAAAUAAAAAACUUUUUAUCUUAACCUUAAUUGAGCAUUAAUCGUUUUGGUUGGUUGCUGGAAAAGUUGGGUAGGAAUUUAUUAUUUUCACAGUAACUAUAAUUAUAUUUGUCUGAUCCAUGAAAAUGACGCAUAACUUUUAACUGUUACAAGUUUACCGUUUUAACAUCAAAAAUAUCUUAUGCAAUCCCUUUGCUAUGAACAAGAAAAUUAAAAUAAACAAUGAUGUGGCAAACGGAAUUUGUGUCUAAUUUUUAUUAUAUAUGUCGGCUCAUUUAUUUUAAUUAUUAAUAGAAUUGGAAAAAUGGAUGGAGUGUUGGUCUUCAUCUCCUUGUCUCAAAUCCAAAUAAAAAAUAUGAACACUUGAAAUUCUAGAAAAAUAAGAGGCAGGAUACUUUGUAAAAAUAUUGUAUUAUUUUCUAAAACAUAUAUUAAUUUUAUUUUAAUGAGAAAAGAUAUAAUGUUAUUUAACAAUUAUUCAUUUAUUUUCACUGAGUCUAAAAAAAAUAAAUAACUAUUCACUUUGAAAAUCUUUUUUUUUCAAUUUUUUUAUUUUGUUUUUUAUCAAUAAUAUAAAUUAACAUAAAUUUAAAAAGUAUAAAUAUAAAUAUUAUCAAAGAAUUGAACUUAUCCUAAAAUUGUAAGCUGUAAUAUGUUUUGUCCUUUGCGUCUCUCUCCCCUGCACAAUUUGUGGUUCCUAUUAUCUGCAUGUACUAAUUGUAGUUACUUUUCAUUUUUCCUAAUCUUUUUCUUCCCUUUCAAUGAGUUGAUAUUAAUCAUUGUUUAUUUUUCCGAGAUAAAAUAUAAAUAAUAAUAAUAAUAAUAAUAAUAAUAAUAAUAAUAAUUAAAAGUCAAUAUAUAGAUUAAUUUUUAAAAUAUUAUUUUUAUUUUUAUUUUAUUAUUAAAUUGAUGUAUUUAAAUUAAUUUUUUAAUUAAAUAUAUUAAUAUUUUAAAAAUUAUUUUUAUUUAUAUUUCAUUUAAAAAUAAAAUAUUUGGCUACAUCUUCGCAACAUUCCAACCUGCUUUGUUUUCUAUUCCCUAUAAAAUACUGUAUAAAUAUUCUCAGUCACAUGUCUAAGUUGUUUGUGAUUUAAGAAUUUAGGGUCCUGUCUUUAUCACAUUUCCUUCAAUUGAGAACUCCAAACCAAACUCUUAUUUGGAAAAAUGACUCAUCCUCGAAAUUUGUUAAAUGGUAAAUAAAUAUAAUGAAUUUACAUUUAGUAUGGGACAGGACAAUAUGUGACCAAACAAAGAGACUCUUCAAGAAUGAAAACAAAUAAAAAUUGGUUUCUUUUUUAGCAAGAAUAAAAAAGAUUCCAAUUCUAAGAAAGUUUAUCUAAUAAACAUAUUAUAUCGAACGUUGUGUCAUAUUUAAUAAAGUUUAUAAUUAUGUAAGUUAAUUAGAAUGGUCUUUGUCAUAUUUUAUAAAACAAAACUAAAAAAGAUUUGACUCGAACUAGUUGUAAAAAUAUAUGUAUUGCACAAAUUCUUUUAUAAAUGUUCGGUAAAUCCUAUAGUAUUCUCUAUUUUAGACUAAAGUAUCGUUCACUCAUCAAAUUAAAAAAAACAUUUAAAAUUAAUCUAUGUAGUGUCAAAUUCACUACACAAUUAGUAUUAAAACUCUAAACUUAUUGAAUUGUAAAAACAAUUAUGUUAAUAAUUGAAAGAAAAAACAAUUGUGUUAAAAAAAUAUACAAUGAAAUAAAGAAAGACAUCUUUUUAACUUAACUAGGUAGGCUAACUCAUCUCAUCACUAACUCUAUUUUAGCAAGUUAAGUAGGAUGGUCAACUUAAAUAGUAGGGUAUAAUACCUAAUCUCAUUCUGGUUAAAAUAAUAGGUUAUACGAGUUAAUUCAACUUAUCAAAUUCAUUUUCCCGCCCACUCUAAAACGAGUUGCUUUUAGAUGAAUUAGACCAACAAUAAAAACUAUUUUUAGAUUAACAUUAAAAUAAUAGAUAUUUCUUUCAAUCUUAAAUAUAAGAAAAAAUAAAUCAAUAAAAAUAAUUUAAUCAAAAUUUUAAACUAAAUAUAUUAACUUUUGUUUAUCUAACUUUCUCAUAUAUUUAAUACACGGGAGUAAUUUGUAAGUGAUUCAAUAGCACUAAAUAGUAAAGAAUAUGAAAAAUGUAAAUACAUACCUGACAAUCAAAAGUACCAUUAGGUGCAAUCCCAGCAUUUCCCCAAGGAACCAUUCUAAGAUUCACAAUAGAAAUAAGAUCCGUUUGGAAUAGUUUCACAAGAUGGUUCACUAUGAAAUCAGCACAAUAAGGACACAAAGUUUCGUAGUAAAAUGACAUUGUUACUUUCUUCUCAUAAUUAGAGGAAGAAGAAGAAGAAGAAGGGGGUACUAAUAGCAAAAGCAAAAGCAAAAGUGGAAGAAGGAGGAAACAGAAGAAGAAUGAGCGUUGAGGUAAAGAAUUAAGAAAAGAAGGCAUUUUCAUUUUUUGUGGUAUGGAAAUGAAAGAAAAAAGAAUCAAUUUAAGUAAAUUGGGUUACUAUGUAUGUGUGAUUGGUUGUGCAAGGAAGGUAUCUUCCUUCUCAUUGCCAUUAUGCAACAAAAAUAAAGUGCCAUUUUAAUAUUUAGUGGCAAUUGUUAAAUACUCAGAUCUAUACGCAAAUGAUUUAUCAAUCCAAAUAAAAUAAAAAGUUACAAAAUUUAAUUUAUCUGGUCUUUUUUUUUUGCCCACGUUUUUUUUUAUAAACUUUUUGCCCGUGUAUUCUCCUUGGGAAAAUUAGUUGAUAGUUGAUUGUUGUUAAAUUAUUUGAAGUGUUAAAAAAAUUAAUGGUUUAAUUAGUUUAAAAAUUAAAAUUAUAUAAAUUGACAUUUUUAUUGAAAAAAAUUAUCAAAUAAUACUUAAAAUAUUUUAAAAAUAGUGAUUUAAUUUUUUUUAUUAAUUUAAAAUUUAUCAAUCUUGAUAUAUUUUUUGGUUAUUUGUUUUUAAAUAAAUAAAUAAACAAUUUACUUUAAAAUAUUUAAAAUUAUAAUAAAAAAUCAUUUAUUAAUGCGAUGUAUUUUUUUUUAUUUAACUAGUUUAAUAAUUUUAAAUUAUUUACUUUAAAAAUAAUUUAUUAAACUUAUUUUUAAUUAUUGUUUUAAAAUUAUAGUAAACAAAAUAUAAAGGUAAAUAAAGUAUUUUAGUUCCAAUAAUAAAGGUAAAAUUGGAAGAUAAAAUGAUAAACUAUAAGUUAAUAAGUUAUUUGAGUUAGUUUAUCAAGAAAUGUUAUAAGUUCGUAAAUGACUUUUAUCAAACAGGUUUUAUAGCUUAUAAGUUAUAAGCUCGUUUCUUUGUCUUGCCAAAUAGAUAAUAAGACAUUAUUUGGUAACGCCAAUAACUUAACUUAUAGCUUAUUAAAUUAGCUUAUAAGUUUGUUGGAUUAUGCAUUGUUUCGUAGCGCCAAUAAACUAGCUUAUUGGAUUAAAAGAGAUUUGUUUGGUAAACAAACUUUUUUCAUCAGCUUAAAACUUAUUCUAAAACGCUAUUUCAAGUAGCGUUUGAGCUUAUACCUGUUUAUAUUUUCUUUCAUUUAUAACCUUAUUAUUUUAUUUUGAUUACUCUUUUUUUUAUCCUUAUGUAAUGCAAAACAAUAAUCUUACUCACUCACCACUCUCUCAAUCACUAGUUCACAGUUUCACGUAUAUCAUUUUAUUGGUGAAGAGAGUUGUAUUUAGUUUCUUUAAUUCAUUGCCAAAAUAACUAUAAUUUUUUUUUUUUUAUGUUUCUUCAGUUAAUUAGUUUUUCAGCUAGUAGCCAGUUUUUCAGCUAGUAGCCAGUUUUUCAGCUAUCAGCUAAUUUGUAGCUUAAUUUUACCAAACGUUGUCUAAAUGAGAUGUGUUUGGUAAACAAGUUUUUCUCAUCAAUUUAUAGUUUAUUCUGAGACAUUAUUUUAAGUAGCGUUUGAGCUUAUAGCUUAUAGUUUUUUACAUUUUCUUCCAUUUAUAACUUGUUCACAUAACUCGUUUCACGUAUAUCUUCCUCUAUGUGAACAUAGUUGGACUCAGUUUCUUUAAUUCCUUGUCAAAAUAUUUUUUUUAAAAAAAAAACAACUUUCAUAUUAUUGAUUUUACAAUAAUUUUACCAAACACAUAUUGAUUAAGGUUGAAGUAAAUAUGUCGAUUUACAAGGAAGGGGGUUUGAAUUGUAAAUCUGUCUUUUUACAAAUUCUUUUUAAAAGCUUGAGAAAAU
rnacentral:lncRNA from 1 species